AAUAGUUACACGAGAAGGUAAUUCAAAAUUAGGUAAGGCUUUUGACUAGAUAUUUAAACAAUGUCUAGCAAUAGUUACACGAGAAGGUAAUUCAAAAUUAGGUAAGGCUUUUGACAUUAAUUUCUUGAAUCCUUCUCCCUCAACAACUCUAAACGGUUGCUCAUCAAUUAUUACAAAUUCGGCAAUAGCUCUCCUAAUAUCCUCCACAUUAUACACCACCCUCUUAGUAGAACCCGAACAUCCUUCUAGCCACCCUUCUUUAAUAGGUUUUAAUGUUGAUUGCCUCUUAUCAAUUAUUUUAAAUGGGGAAUUGUGGCAUGUCUCAUUUAAAUGUGUCCAUAAUGUAGUAGUCCCAUUCUUGCUCUCAGAAGCAAAGGUUUUAGGACAAUAAUGACAUUUUGCUCUACAUUUACCUCCUUUAGCAGUAAACUUGGAGAAAUGAUUCCAGAUCUGAGAAGUCUCUCUGCCAGUAUUUNNN
rnacentral:lncRNA from 1 species